rnacentral:rRNA from 1 species
GGGUCAGCAGGUUGGUCGUGCCACCGGUACGUACUGGUCUCACUGAUUCCUCCUUCCUGAAGAACCGUAAUGCCAUUAAUUUGGUGUUGCGGGGAAACAGGACUGUUACUUUGAAAAAAUUGGAGUGUUUAAAGCAAGCUAACGCUUGAAUACAUUAGCAUGGAAUAAUGAAAUAGGACGAUCGAUCCUAUUUUGUUGGUUUCUAGGAUUGACGUA